rnacentral:rRNA from 1 species
AGCGAACGCUGGCGGCAGGCCUAACACAUGCAAGUCGAACGAACCUUUCGGGGUUAGUGGCGGACGGGUGAGUAACACGUGGGAACGUGCCUUUAGGUUCGGAAUAACUCAGGGACACUUGUGCUAAUACCGAAUGUGCCCUUCGGGGGAAAGAUUUAUCGCCUUUAGAGCGGCCCGCGUCUGAUUAGCUAGUUGGUUGAGGUAAUGGCUCACCAAGGCGACGAUCAGUAGCUGGUCUGAGAGGAUGAUCAGCCACAUUGGGACUGAGACACGGCCCAAACUCCUACGGGAGGCAGCAGUGGGGAAUCGUGCGCAAUGGGCGAAAGCCUGACGCAGCCAGGCCGCGUGAAUGAUGAAGGUCUUAGGAUUGUAAAAUUCUUUCACCGGGGACGAUAAUGACGGUACCCGGAGAAGAAGCCCCGGCUAACUUCGUG